UUAAAUAUAUAAUCCAUGAUGACUUAAAAUUUGAAAAACAAUUCCGAUUUUCAUCAUAUUUGGAUCCAUAUAUUCCAAGAAGAAUUCAUUCAUUUUCAAACAAAAAAAAUUUAAUGAAAAAAAAUCCACUGAAUCAGCAUUUAAAAAAUUAUGAAGAAAAGAAAACUAAUCCUAUACCAGUUAUUCGCCAAAGCCAUAAUCAUGAUCAUCAACAUCAAUGUGAAAUAAUCUGUACGACAAUCAGUGCCAUACUAUGUCAUCGAUUGAUUGAUGUUCGACAAAUGUUCAAAAAUGAAAUUUAUUGAUUAAAUCGAUAAAAUCGUUUAUUGGCCAGAAAAAAUGUUAUAUGCAAUAAUAACAAGACAUUUGUGUUUGUUUGUUUGUUUCUGUUCAUUUUUUUAUAUAUGAAUUUCAAGUUCAAAAAUGCAGAAAAAAUGAAUCAUUCAUCAAUAUCAAAAAAUCUCAUCAUCCAGGAUCACGAAAUAAAACCACCCGUUCAUCGUAGUGACGUAUUUUUGUGUUUAUUCAAUGUGAAUCAUUCGGGAGGUAUUUGCCAGACAAAAAAUAAAAAAAAAUCCGGAUUAAUCAAGCCGGAUUUCCAACUGUUUUUUCCACUAUUCAAAAAAAAAUCCAUCUAUACACAAGUCAAUUGAUUUGACAAAACAGAGUGUAAGAAAGAGAAUAUUGAACUCUCUAAUUCACCCUGAAAAUCAAACCAUAAGUAAAAUCCAUGGAUCGGGCAAAGGAAACAAAGCAGAAAAAAAUUGUGAAUAAUGAUCCUGGAAUAUAUAUAGACCAAAAACACUCCAUUCCACACAGAAUAGAAUUGGAUAUUUAAUGAUAAAAAACAAAAUCUUCAGGAACAGGAAUAACAUGUGCACAAUAUUCAAUUCUUGAUGACCAGAUGAUUGUUUUUGACAUCAAAUGACUUAUGACUAAUAACAACAACGAAGACGACGACGAUAAAAUAAUCACAAUAAGUUUGUAAAGAGAGAAAAAUGAUCAUCCACUAGAAAAGAAAUCCAUUUUUAUAUCAUUGAAACGCAAGAUUUUUUUUUCUCUUUUCUCUUAUAUAUAGGAAAUGUAAUAUAUGAAUGUUUGUUUCUGGAAAAAAGUCAAUUUGAAUUUCUCAAUUCUUUAAUCGCUCUUCAAUCGAUCAAUCAAUCAAUCAAUCACAUCGAUCAUCGUAAUCUGAGAAUAUAUUGUAAUUCUAAAGUUGUUUGCUCAUAUCGACCGUCUAAAAAUCUUGUAAAUAAAUGUAAAAUAUUGUGGUCUACUAUCAUCAUCAACCUCUGGUUUUGUUUUGUUUUAUCAACAAAAUUUUUUUUCGAUUAAUUUUCUCACAAACGAUAUGAUCAGUCCAUGCUCGCUUUCAACUGUGUGUGCGUGCGUGUGAAUAAGCUUUGUGUUUUCCAUAAAUGUGGAAAGACAAAACAACUACAGAACACAAUGAUUAAACAAUGAAUUUAUCGUUUUGUACUACUGCCAUUGCUAUUGUUGUUUUAAUAAACAAAAAAAAUCUCUGUCAUCAUCAAUUCAUUAUUAUUAUUAUUAUCAUCGGAAUCUUCUUCAUUAUCAUUAUCAAAAUCACCAUUAACACCAUUAAAAUCUACGGCAACGACGACGACAUUAUAUUGCCUUAUCUAAAUGGUCAUUAUUUAUUUAUUUUUUAAUUAUCAUAUUAUUGGCCAGUUUAGUUAAUUAUUAGCAACAAUAUUAUUUCAAUGAAUCAUUAUCAUCAUCACCAUUGUUUUUGU